rnacentral:rRNA from 1 species
ACACUUUCAACAAGGGAUCUCUUGGUUCCGGCAUCGAUGAAGAACGCAGCGAAAUGCGAUAAGUAAUGUGAAUUGCAGAAUUCAGUGAAUCAUCGAGUCUUUGAACGCACAUUGCGCCCCAUGGUAUUCCGGGGGGCAUGCCUGUCCUAGCGUCAUU